GACGAACGCUGGCGGCGUGCCUAAUACAUGCAAGUCGAACGCAGUGGGGACGGGUGAGUAACACGUGGGUAACCUCCCAUCAGAGGGGAUAACACUUGGAAACAGGUGCUAAACCGAUACUGAUGGAUGGACCCGCGGUUCAUUAGCGAGUUGGUGAGGUAACGGCGCACCAAGGCCACGAUGCAUAGUCGACUGGAGAGCGUGAUCGGCUACACGGGGACUGGGACACGGACCAGACUCCUACGGUAGGAAGCAGUAGAGAAUCUUGGGCAAUUGAGGAAAGGCUGACCGAGCGAUGCCGCGUGAGUGAAGAAGGGUUUCGGAUCGUAAAGCUCUGUUGUUAGAUAGGCGGUAUCUAGCCAGAAAGCGACGGCUAACUACGUGCCAGCAGCCGCGGUAAUAC
rnacentral:rRNA from 1 species